rnacentral:rRNA from 1 species
GUGGGGAAUAUUGGACAAUGGGCGAAAGCCUGAUCCAGCCAUGCCGCGUGUGUGAAGAAGGUCUUCGGAUUGUAAAGCACUUUAAGUUGGGAGGAAGGGCAGUAAGUUAAUACCUUGCUGUUUUGACGUUACCGACAGAAUAAGCACCGGCUAACUUCGUGCCAGCAGCCGCGGUAAUACGAAGGGUGCAAGCGUUAAUCGGAAUUACUGGGCGUAAAGCGCGCGUAGGUGGUUUUGUAAGUUGGAGGUGAAAUCCCCGGGCUGAACCUUGGAACUGCCUCCAAAACUGCAUGACUAGAGUACGGUAGAGGGUAGUGGAAUUUCCUGUGUAGCGGUGAAAUGCGUAGAUAUAGGAAGGAACACCAGUGGCGAAGGCGACUACCUGGACUGAUACUGACACUGAGGUGCGAAAGCGUGGGGAGCAAACAGGAUUAGAAACCCGGGUAGUCC